UACGUAGGCAGCAAGCGUUGUUCGGAGUUACUGGGCGUAAAGGGUGUGUAGGCGGUUCUCUAAGUCUGGUGUGAAAUCUCCCGGCUCAACUGGGAGGGUGCGCCGAAAACUGGAGGGCUAGAGUGCGGGAUGGGAGAGUGGAAUUCCUGGUGUAGCGGUGAAAUGCGUAGAUAUCAGGAGGAACACCUGUGGUGUAGACGGCUCUCUGGACCGCAACUGACGCUGAAACACGAAAGCGUGGGUAGCAAACAGG
rnacentral:rRNA from 1 species